AGGAGCUAUGUGUUCUCUCUCCCCAAACGCGUACACGGCGUAUAAAGGGACAGCAUGUUUCUUACAGAGACUGCAAAACACCAGGUCGCAAACGGCAGUGACGGCAUAUUGUUGCAGUGAACUUUAACCACGUAUGGUAGACAAAUGCAAACAGAGGCCUACAUUUGAAACAAAACAAUUGAAGGACACUCUUGCCCGUAAUUGCGAAAAUUACCGUCAUUAUAACUAGUGGUGAUACUUAUUUUCCAUAUCUUGAACAGAAUGCAUCAACUGUCUCCAUCCUGAAGAGUCUUCAGGAUGGAUGGAAAUCUGCCACUCAUGUAACUGUAGACUUAUUAGCUGCCACAAAAAUAUAAUUUUAUAUUAAGAUCUUUAAUUUGUCACAGCUAGACAAUAUCAACAUAUUUUUGCCUCAUACCCAUGUUUUAAUGCAAUACAGUCAAAAGUUCUGGAUGACUUUCUGUUUUCAGGUGUGAACAAUAAUCACACCUUUCAACAUUCUUAAGCAUAAAAUUUCGCAAUUUUAUGAUAUAAUGUCAAAAUGUAACUAGACGAAAGUAACAAAUCUAAUUUAUAUUUUACAGAUGCAUCAACAGUAGUUUCAGCUCCUACUGGGUCAGGGAAAACAGUUAUUUUUGAACUGGCAGUCAUCAGAUUGCUAAUAAAAUUAAAAGAUGUUGAAUGUAGAGGAGAAUACAAAAUUGUAUAUAGUAUCAUUAUCAUUAGCAACAUGAGCUAAUUAUACCAUCACUUCUUAACCACAAACUGGAUGUAAAUACGAAUUACAACACACAAAUUGUAUUAUAAUUCUCCACAUGUAUAUACAUUAAAUACACAAUAAUGAAGAAACUGCCCUGAAGAUUAAAAAAACAACAUAAAAUGUAUAUAAUAUAAACAUUAAUCAUAGUCCAACCUAAAAGAAAUGUAUGUUAUUGUCAAAAUGUGAUGGCUCAGAGUAACUGUUUGUAGUACUGAGUAACAAAUGUUUCUUUCCCUUUGUUUUAAUGUGAAUGGAAAUUUGAUGUGUGUACUUUCAUCAGGAAUGUCUGAUAUGGACUCAAAAUGUGCAUUCUGAAAUUCAAGAAUGGCAGCAGACACAAGCAGUUGCAGAAUGUUUUUAACAGUGUUAUAACCUGCUUAUGAUGCGAUGUUGGAUGAAAGACUAUGGAACGAAUGAACAGUAAGACAGACAAAAUGGAUGAGAAACCACUAUGCCCUUUAGUAAAUUUGAGCAUGAGAAUACAAUACAAUCGACAUAAUUUAGGAGUCAUAGGAAAAGGGCAUGGUUUAUCACAAAUAACUGACACAUUUCUGAGUUUGUUGGCAGCAAUACAUCUGAAACUGAAUUAAACUAACUUUCUUUUCUAAAUUUAUGUGAUUUUAUCCUCUGCAACUUUCAUUGAAACACAGCUGUUGCACAGAUCAACAAAUACCUUCAUGUACAUUUUUUGUAAUGCAACAUCACAGCUGACUCAUAUCAAAUCCUACCACAGAACUUAACACAGCAACAAAAUCAUUACUCAAAUGGAACCAUAAUCAUGUAAAUAUAUUCUGAUAGUUUACUGUCAUUGUACUCAUCACAGUGGCUCCUGUGAAGGCCUUGUCUUCAGAGAGAUUCCAAGACUGGAGGCCUUCUCUUGGUUUGAAGUGCAAAGAACAUACAGGCGACACAGACGAAUAUGAUCUAUCUAGUCUCUCAACUUACCACUUGAUCCUAACUACACCAGAGAAAUGGGACUCCCUCACCAGAAAGUGGAAGGUCAACAAGGGAAUAGUUCAGAUCGUCAAAUUAUUCCUCAUCAAUGAGGUAGGAAGUUAUGACGUGGAACAUGUAUUCACACCAUAACAAAAGGUGCAUCUUCUGAAUGAAGAACAGCGUGGUCCAAUGCUGGAAGCAGUGGUGAGUCGUAUGAAGACAGUACGGGGGGCUAUUUGUGUCACACAACGACAAACGCAAGAACAGCACCACAGUGACUCGCAGACAACAGUACAAAAUCACAAAUAUAUGUUUCUGAGAUUGGUGGAGAAUAAUUAUGUAAAUUGUUACAGCAUGAGCCUUUGCAUAAUACAGAAUUUAAAAACAGGAAAAAGUUAUUUCCUUGACAAGAUAAAAUACAAUACUUCACAUGUUAUAGAAUCAGUGUCUGACAAGGAUGUACUUUCGCUCCCUUUUCUACUUUCUGGCAUGUUUAACCUUUAACCUAUUAAUGCCCAAGGAUAUUCUCUUGAAAAGUAUACAUUUUAUUAUGUAUUAUAAUUUGGCAUUAAUAUAAUCUAAGCAAUUUAAAGAACUGUUAAAUAAAUCAAAACACCUGAA